GUGACAGAGUUGGAAAACUACUGCAUAAAUGCGGCUUUCGUUAUGUAACUCUCUCUCUCAAAACCCAUAAAGGCUUUCCACUUCUUACCAUAUAUUACUGAAUUCCUUUGCCUGAAUUUCAAGAUUCCUCAUAGUCUGGCCUCCUGCUACCUGGUCAAUGAUUACUAGUGGAGUGAUGAAUGAGAUAAUCAAUGAAACACACUUAAGGACAAUAUCUGGCCUAUGAUGGAAAAUAAUUGUUUUAUUAAUAUUAUUUUUUAUUUGCAACAGCUAUUGCUUUUGUCUGCUGAGCAUCCACCCACUAUCCUCCUCCUUCUAGUAUCCCUACCUUAAGGAAGAAUCUCCUUCCUUUUCCCAGCAUCAAGUAUUAUGGGGGAACUGGCCAGUCAUACUGCCACAUCUCUUGUCUGAAGAUGGACAUGUGACUUAAACUGGUUAAAGAAAAAUCCUUUCCUGACAUUUUUUCAAAUAGGAGCUGGAGGCGAAGCUCCUUUUUUUUUUUUUUUCCCUUUGGAUAUAAAGUUGGUAAGAUAUAAGCCUAGAGCUAUUGUUUGUGGCCAUAUUUUUACCUUACGGACAAAGAAAAGCCAAAAACUAGGAAAAAAAUAAAACUCCCAAAGGUGUGUGUGUAUGUGUCUGUGUCAGUCAGAGAGAUAUGAAAAGAGAAGGAAAUAUUAAAAUCCCCAAUUCUGACAGUUCCUAUGUCUGGUUCCUACUCAUAAAUUUCUUUGGAUUGGAUAUGUGAAGCUAUAAUUGUUCCCUUUUGUGUUUUACUGAUUUGAGGUGGCUUUUAAUCUCCUGCUGGCCAUUUGAGAUAUAAGGAUAAAUGAAGCAUAACACUUUCUCUGAAGGAAUUCCUUUUUAUGGAGAAGGCAGAAGCAUAAAUAUCAUAAGCAGUCACAAUUUUGGUAACAAAAGUGAGUCUGGACAAUGAGUUGUACCAUGAAAGCCACUCUCCUAACCUGGUCACCACCUCUGGACUCCUAGUUCUAGUUUGUGAUGGUUCUGGAGUUGUCUCAUACCUGAGCAUGUGACUAUAAGGAAUAUUAACUAGCAUUUAUUUUAUUUUAUCCCUCUGCCACCUGGAACUCCCUAUGGCAUAAGACAUUUUAGAAAAUGAUGAAGACUCUGCAGAUAAUGCAGGGGUUUUCCUUCUGGAAGUGAGAAUAGCCAGUAAGGAUAGCUGACCCUCAAAAGAAGUUUUGUAGUAGAGUUUCUUAACUUAAAGUCCAUAGAUCCCAGGAGACAUCCACAGAUAAGAUUCUGUAAUGUCGUAUGUAAUUUCUAGGUCCCAUGAUUUUUUUUGGAGCUGUGGGGAGAGUCUACACCUUUUAUAAAAACCUCAGAAGGGUCCCCAAGCCAAAAAAUAGCAUGCUUAUGUAGAAGAACUCCCAAAAUGCAUUGAAGUGACUAUGGGGAAGAAUGCAAAAAGAAUCUUAAAGGCUGCCUUGGAGAUCUGGAGCAUAUGGAGAAUUCUUCCUGCUAAGUCUGAAGAAUAGUGACAAUCUAAUUAGCCCAGAGUCACAAAGACAUGGAGUUUCUUCAAAAGGAGCAUCCCAGGACAUUCAGCCAAAGACCUGUUCCAGUUUCAAGGGAUGGAGGAAGAUCAUCCCUAGAUUUCCACUCAGAUGAGUAAUGGGAUUAGAGUACCUUAGAUGACAUGGAGUGACCCCCUGAUUGACACAUGACUUCAGCGCUUCAUUGUUCCUUUAAUGUACUAUGUAAUUGUCCCCUAUUAUUAGUCAGGCUUUCUAUCUUUAUUCUGCUUAAAUUUCUAUACUAUUUAAAAAGGCAUGGUCAUGCUCCCACCCCUGAAACUCCUUAUUCCCUUGUCCAGCUUUAUUCAUCUUAUAGCAUGUAUAUUUAUUUUCUGUCUCCCUCAGCAGAAUGUGAGCUCUGUAAGAAAAUGAUCUGUGGUAGACUUGUUCAUAGAUUGCUCCAGCACUGAGAAGGGUUCCAGGCACAGAGUAUCUAUUGAAGGAAUGAAUACAUGAAAGAAUGUCUUCCUUUGUUCUUCCACCUAUCUAAGUAUCAAUCUCUCUGUUUAUUGUAAAGACAGAAUAACAUGAAAGUUUAAAGCACAGGCCGUAGUAUUUACAUAGUUCAGUCUGAAUUCAAGCUUUGUCCUGAAAUGUAUCUUUCUUGAUAACAGUUACAAUGAUAAAUGAGAUGAAGAAAGCUUGCCUUCUUGAGAGGCAUGAAAACCAUGCCCACUAGCCUCUUCCACCCAUUACUAAAGAUAGGGUGGGUCUUUUAUGGGUUGAGAAUGGACCUGAAGUUCUACUCUGAGCUUUGCUACACACUUGCUGAGAAAUGUAGACCAAAUUACUUGGCUUCUCAAGCCUCGGUUUCUUCAUCUUUCAAACAGUACCUCCUUCAUUACCUCUGUGAGAUAACGUGUUAAGGUACUUAGCGCAGUAUCUAAAAUAAGAGUUAGUGCCAAGUAAAUGUUAGUAGUUAUUGGUCUGUGCACACUAAAUACUCAGUAAGUGAACUGCUACUAUGGAGCCUUUUUUAACCACUCCAGCACCAUUCUGUGCUCUCUUAUGGUAUUUAGGAUUUGUCUUCUCCACACUGUGGCUGGAUUGAUCAAUGUGUGUAUGUGUCUGAGUGUAUUUUCUCAAACUGAUUAAAUUCCCUGAAAGCUUGUACUUUUGAUCUUCCAGAGGGCACAGUCACUCACUAAGCGCUUAGUUCUCUUAGGUCUUGGCAACUUAUUGGAAUGGGGAGUCCUAUCCUCCUUGAUCCCUUAGGAUUUUUCUAUGUGCCUUAUUCUGUUGACUUUAAAGAAAAAGCUGUCUCUUUAAAUGCACACUUUCUCCUCUUUACCACUCAGAGGAGGCCUCUGUGCACAGAGGGACCUCCAGAUAAGCCAAAUGCCUCUUUGCUUGCUAAUACCUUACAUGACAAAGUAUCUCAUUCGCCAAUCUCUUUCGUCUUGAUUCAGGGCCUGGCUAAAAUGGCUGUAGAGACAAUAGCUUGUCUCUUUGAUCUUUUCAGAAGGAGGAAUUUCAUUACAACCUUUCCUGAAAUUUCACCUCUUUCUUUAUUGAUUUUUCCAUCUGUAAAAUGGGAAUUGGAGUUCCCUAAGGUCUUAGCGGGUUAAGGACGUGUGUUGUCAUUGCUGUGGCACAGGUUGCUGCUGUGGUGUGGGUUUGAUCCCAGGCCUGGGAACUUUUGCAUGCCAUG
rnacentral:lncRNA from 1 species